CAGAAAUCGGAGCUCUGCCAAGGCAGGCAGAGAGGUCGUUGAUGCUGCUGCUGUGACCAGAGCUGGUGCUCUCUGAUGGAGCAAUCUCACCCCUCGAUCUUGUGUUACGGGACACCAGGAGUAGGACAUGUGAAUGAUUGGGCAGCUAGGAACGCUGAUGACCAGAGAGAUCCUGGGGUUCAAGUUCACAGCUCCCUGAAAGUGACAUCGCAGGUCAACAGGGUGGUGAAGGAGGCAAACGGCAUGUUGCCUUCAUAAGUUCGGGCAGAGAAUAUAGAAUUUGGGACAUUAUGUUGCAACUUUUCUAAACACUGGUGAGACGGCACUUGUGUGAAGUUCUGGUCGCCCCCCCCCCCCCACCCCCCCCCCCCCCCCCGGUGGAAGGGUGUGGAGAAAGAGUAGAGGAGAUUCACCACGACGUUGCCUGGACGGGAGGGCUUUAGCCAUGGGGAGAGACUGGACCGGCUGGGCUUCCCCGGGGUGCAGGCUGCUGACGGGUGACCUGAUAGAGGUGCACAGGAAAUUCCUCCAUCACCGAAAUUCACAGAUCACUACCCAAAAAUCGGAGAUGCGGAAUAUAAUUCACAGAGUUUAUGUGGGAUAAAAUUAAAUAAAUCAACAGAAGAUGGGAAAGAAACAACAAA